GAUGAACGCUAGCGGCAGGCUUAAUACAUGCAAGUCGAGGGGCAGCACAGAUAGCAAUAUUGGGUGGCGACCGGCAAACGGGUGCGGAACACGUACACGACCUUCCUUUUGGUGGGGGAUAGCCUUUGGAAACGGAGAUUAAUACCCCAUAAGAUAUUGGGACCGCAUGGUUUUGAUAUUAAAGAUUUAUUGCCAGAAGAUGGGUGUGCGUAUGAUUAGGUAGUUGGUGAGGUAAAGGCUCACCAAGCCGACGAUCAUUAAUUGGUGUGAGAGCACGACCAGUCACACGGGCACUGAGACACGGGCCCGACUCCUACGGGAGGCAGCAGUAAGGAAUAUUGGUCAAUGGACGGAAGUCUGAACCAGCCAUGCCGCGUGGAGGAUGAAGGUCCUCUGGAUUGUAAACUUCUUUUAUAUGGGGCGAAAAAGGGCCAUUCUUGGUCAACUGACGGUACCAUAUGAAUAAGCACCGGCUAACUCCGUGCCAGCCGCCGCCGUAACAC
rnacentral:rRNA from 1 species